GAAUAUUGGACAAUGGGCGAAAGCCUGAUCCAGCCAUGCCGCGUGAGUGAUGAAGGCCCUAGGGUUGUAAAGCUCUUUCAACGGUGAAGAUAAUGACGGUAACCGUAGAAGAAGCCCCGGCUAACUUCGUGCCAGCAGCCGCGGUAAUACGAAGGGGGCUAGCGUUGUUCGGAAUUACUGGGCGUAAAGCGCACGUAGGCGGAUUGGUCAGUUAGGGGUGAAAUCCCAGGGCUCAACCCUGGAACUGCCUUUAAUACUGCCAAUCUAGAGUUCGAGAGAGGUGAGUGGAAUUCCGAGUGUAGAGGUGAAAUUCGUAGAUAUUCGGAGGAACACCAGUGGCGAAGGCGGCUCACUGGCUCGAUACUGACGCUGAGGUGCGAAAGCGUGGGGAGCAAACAGG
rnacentral:rRNA from 1 species